UUAAUAGCUAGCUGAGUAUACAUGCAAGUCGAACGAACUCUGGUAUUGAUUGGUGCUUGCAUCAUGAUUUACAUUUGAGUGAGUGGCGAACUGGUGAGUAACACGUGGGAAACCUGCCCAGAAGCGGGGGAUAACACCUGGAAACAGAUGCUAAUACCGCAUAACAACUUGGACCGCAUGGUCCGAGUUUGAAAGAUGGCUUCGGCUAUCACUUUUGGAUGGUCCCGCGGCGUAUUAGCUAGAUGGUGGGGUAACGGCUCACCAUGGCAAUGAUACGUAGCCGACCUGAGAGGGUAAUCGGCCACAUUGGGACUGAGACACGGCCCAAACUCCUACGGGAGGCAGCAGUAGGGAAUCUUCCACAAUGGACGAAAGUCUGAUGGAGCAACGCCGCGUGAGUGAAGAAGGGUUUCGGCUCGUAAAACUCUGUUGUUAAAGAAGAACAUAUCUGAGAGUAACUGUUCAGGUAUUGACGGUAUUUAACCAGAAAGCCACGGCUAACUACGUGCCAGCAGCCGCGGUAAUACGUAGGUGGCAAGCGUUGUCCGGAUUUAUUGGGCGUAAAGCGAGCGCAGGCGGUUUUUUAAGUCUGAUGUGAAAGCCUUCGGCUCAACCGAAGAAGUGCAUCGGAAACUGGGAAACUUGAGUGCAGAAGAGGACAGUGGAACUCCAUGUGUAGCGGUGAAAUGCGUAGAUAUAUGGAAGAACACCAGUGGCGAAGGCGGCUGUCUGGUCUGUAACUGACGCUGAGGCUCGAAAGUAUGGGUAGCAAACAGGAUUAGAUACCCUGGUAGUCCAUACCGUAAACGAUGAAUGCUAAGUGUUGGAGGGUUUCCGCCCUUCAGUGCUGCAGCUAACGCAUUAAGCAUUCCGCCUGGGGAGUACGGCCGCAAGGCUGAAACUCAAAGGAAUUGACGGGGGCCCGCACAAGCGGUGGAGCAUGUGGUUUAAUUCGAAGCUACGCGAAGAACCUUACCAGGUCUUGACAUACUAUGCAAAUCUAAGAGAUUAGACGUUCCCUUCGGGGACAUGGAUACAGGUGGUGCAUGGUUGUCGUCAGCUCGUGUCGUGAGAUGUUGGGUUAAGUCCCGCAACGAGCGCAACCCUUAUUAUCAGUUGCCAGCAUUAAGUUGGGCACUCUGGUGAGACUGCCGGUGACAAACCGGAGGAAGGUGGGGAUGACGUCAAAUCAUCAUGCCCCUUAUGACCUGGGCUACACACGUGCUACAAUGGAUGGUACAACGAGUUGCGAACUCGCGAGAGUAAGCUAAUCUCUUAAAGCCAUUCUCAGUUCGGAUUGUAGGCUGCAACUCGCCUACAUGAAGUCGGAAUCGCUAGUAAUCGCGGAUCAGCAUGCCGCGGUGAAUACGUUCCCGGGCCUUGUACACACCGCCCGUCACACCAUGAGAGUUUGUAACACCCAAAGUCGGUGGGGUAACCUUUUAGGAACCAGCCGCUAUAAGAGAUGACACGGA
rnacentral:rRNA from 2 species